rnacentral:tRNA from 1 species
AGCUUUUUAGUUUAUUGUUUGAAUUUUUUAUUUACGAUAAAAGGGUUUUUAAGCUU